rnacentral:rRNA from 1 species
UACGUAGGGUGCGAGCGUUAAUCGGAAUUACUGGGCGUAAAGCGUGCGCAGGCGGUUUGUUAAGACAGGUGUGAAAUCCCCGGGCUUAACCUGGGAACUGCGCUUGUUACUGGCAGACUUGAGUGUGGCAGAGGGGGGUGGAAUUCCAGGUGUAGCAGUGAAAUGCGUAGAUAUCUGGAGGAACACCGAUGGCGAAGGCAGCCCCCUGGGUUAACACUGACGCUCAUGCACGAAAGCGUGGGGAGCAAACAGG